UAGCAUAUCAAUAAGCGGAGGAAAAGAAACUAACAAGGAUUCCCCUAGUAACUGCGAGUGAAGAGGGAGAAGCUCAAAUUUGAAAUCUGGCAGUCUCUGGCUGUCCGAGUUGUAAUUUAGAGAAGUGUUACCCGCGUUGGACCGUGUACAAGUCUCCUGGAAUGGAGCGUCAUAGAGGGUGAGAAUCCCGUCUUUGACACGGACUGCCAGUGCUUUGUGGUGCGCUCUCGAAGAGUCGAGUUGUUUGGGAAUGCAGCUCUAAAUGGGUGGUAAAUUCCAUCUAAAGCUAAAUAUUGGCGAGAGACCGAUAGCGAACAAGUACCGUGAGGGAAAGAUGAAAAGAACUUUGGAAAGAGAGUUAAACAGUACGUGAAAUUGCUGAAAGGGAAACGCUUGAAGUCAGUCGCGUUGGCCAGGGAUCAGCCUUCCUUUCGGUUGGUGUACUUCCUGGUUAACGGGUCAGCAUCAGUUUUGACCGUUGGAUAAAGUCUAGGGGAAUGUGGCAUCUUCGGGUGUGUUAUAGCCUUUAGUCGUAUACAACGGUUGGGACUGAGGAACUCAGCACGCCGCAAGGCCGGGUCUUUGACCACGUUCGUGCUUAGGAUGCUGGCAUAAUGGCUUUAAUCGACCCGUCUUGAAACACGGACCAAGGAGUCUAACAUGCCUGCGAGUGUUUGGGUGGAAAACCCGAGCGCGUAAUGAAAGUGAAAGUUGAGAUCUCUGUCGUGGAGAGCAUCGACGCCCGGCCCAGACCUUCUGUGACGGUGCCGCGGUUGAGCAUGUAUGUUGGGACCCGAAAGAUGGUGAACUAUGCCUGAAUAGGGUGAAGCCGAGGAAACUCUGGUGGAGGCUCGUAGCGAUUCUGACGUGCAAAUCGAUCGUCGAAUUUGGGUAUAGGGGGCGAAAGACUAAUCGAAACUAUCUAGUAGCUGGUUUCUGUUGAG
rnacentral:rRNA from 1 species